CCCUGAUGAGAGCAACACUGUCCAAGGCACAAGUCAACCCUUGUUGCCUGAUGUAUGGUAAUGGUAUCAUAUCAUUCUGCUCCCUGUAUUGUACUAAUUCUCUGCCCACUGCCCUGGGUUGAAAGUUGAGACCUGCAAAGUGACCGCCUUUAAGCAAAAAGGAGGAGUUGAAAAGGUUGCAAGAUCUUGGUUAUAUUUCACGGGGCCAAUCCAUCCAUCCAUCCAUCCAUCCAUGGCCGCACUACUGUCUUCUCUUCUCCAGCAGACAGGUAAUAACUACCCCAGGCGUCCGAUCAACUUGCCUAGAUCCACUAGACGUUAUCAUCUUCGACCUAGGAGUAGAUAGCUAGUGGCUGACAAGCUGCACACCAGGUGCUCGAUCAUAUGUGUGGCAGAGGCCCACAUUCUCUUUCGCGCUGAGAGCGACAGUGUUUGGACAAUCAUUUGGUUUGGGAAUUGAGAACACAGGUGUCUUGUUGAGCAGGGAGGAGUGAAGAACAUGAAUUGCAUCUGGUAAUUAUGCUUCUUUUGGUUUUCGUCGAAAAAAGAAUGAUAUGCUUCAUGGGUUGUGUAUGAUGGUGUGCCCAGAUGAACGCAUUUGCCUUUCCCGUUCCCAUCACUCAGUUCAUCUGAUGAAUCUGCUUUAAUUUCUCCCAACAAGUGUCACUUCGUUACCCCUUUUUUUUUCUCCCCCUUCUUUAUUCGUUCAUUUCUGUUAUUGUCAGUUGGUGUUAAACAACAGGAAUGACUGCAUGUACAAAAUGCAGCUCCCAGAAAUGAAUAGUUCUUCAUUGAACUCGGCCAUUGUAAAAUCAGUACAAGAGCUUCUGCCUGCAAGAUAUACAGAGGUAUCAGCACAAUCUACAACUUUCCAAUUACUUGAAAGUUUUCAUGUUCCAAUAACUUUUGUACCGUUACAGUUAUGAAGAUACGACAAGCCGGAGCACGAGCCGGAGCAACCAGAGGAUCCCUGACUCACUCAUCAUUAUGAGCUUGAAUCCUAUGCUGUGUUAAGAUAAGUCAACAAAAGCUUCUCAUUAUCGAGCCCACUUACACUCUGCAAAUGGCAUGGCAUGUAGAGCAGACAGGACAUGUUUCUGCAUCGCCUAUCAUCGGCCUACUCCUUAAGCACUAAGGAAGAAAUCUGUACCAAAGGUUAAUUAUUCCAGUGACUUUUAUAUCAUGAUGGUUUUUAGAUAGGACA
rnacentral:lncRNA from 1 species